rnacentral:lncRNA from 1 species
CCCACCUGUAAUCCUCUCUUAAAAACCGAAAAGGCAACACAGGAGAUACUGCACACAGCACUCUGGGAUACUGCCAUGUGAUUUACUUUUUACAGACCUUUAUCCUAUAUGAUGAGGAGAGGAUGUGCUUUUGUACAUAAAAAGCAAGCGGGCAUUCCAGAAGGGGCUGCCUAAUGCAGUUUUGCCUUUCCCCGUGUGAAGGCAGGGUUAAGAAAGCUGAUUAUUGUUGUCUUAUGCGUAUCCAUCCCUCUCUAGGUCAACUGAUUAUUUGAUGAAGGCCUAAACAUGUGAAGACUGCACUGCUUCAUCACAGACAUUGACUGGUCUGAACAAAGAUCCUCUAAUACUGCCCCCUGGAGUACAGAUUUUACUAUGACAUGUAGAGAUUACAUUCAAAGCACAUUCAACACACGUUUAAAGACAACUCCUGGGAACUGUUUGCUAAGGAGAGUGAUAGCUCUGUGAGGGGAAAACUACAGUUCCCAGAAUUCUUGUGGGGGUGGGGAGUAAUGUGCUUUAAAUGUGCAUUCAAUGUUCCCCUGAGACAUGAAAGAGCUCACUGAACUCUCCGUGACCUAACGCAUGCAAAACUUUUAUCAAGUAACGCAUCCUUGGGACUGGUAGUUCUAAACCGCUGCUGGAGACAAUACUCAGUAAAAUUAAGUAUUAAAAAACCAAAAAAACAAGCAAGACACAGUGAUGACACAGGGACUACUAGGGUAAUUAUAAGGUUGGGCAGCUGUCAUAACUUCCUUACUAAGCUUGAUUCUACUUGCCCAGCCCAGGUACAAUCCCAUGGUUAAACGUCUGCAUAUUGCAAAGGGUUUUCUAAGAACUAUUACUUUCAAGAACUUAUAUAAUACACACACAUGAACUGGUUCUGUUAGAUCAAAAUCUCACAUAGGAUUCUGCUUAGCUUCCUCUUUAAAGUUCAUAUUAAUCUCACAGGACUAAGACAAAAGCUAUCUCCUGUUUUGGGGUCUUUGAUGGCAGAUCCAGAAAGGAUGCAGCAACACGGUCAAGGCUAGCCCACAAAAAUUAGGCAAGAGCAGUUCUCGUGACCCACAACGCUCUCAUUCAUCAAAAAUAUCUGGGGAUGGGGAGGGAAUGCAAGUUGCACAGGGCAAACCAGUGCUGGCAGAAGCCCUUAGGCAGGGGUCAGCAAAGUUACCGUGCCUCGGGCCAGUGUCUCCAGCGCCGAUCGCGCGGCAGGCCGGAGGGAGCGCAUGCCCAUACGCGUGCGCGCAUGCCAUUUCCAGCGCACUUCCAGGAAAUAGCUUGUGCGCAUGUGCACGGGCCUCAUCCAACCCAGAUGUGCACCGGAAAUAACGCUUGCGCAUGCGCACAAGCUAUUUCUGGUGCUCCUCUAACCCAGAAGUGGGCAGCUGUGCAGUGCAGGUAAGAGCGGGCAGCGGCAGUUGGCGGCAGGGGUCGCUGCGGGCCGGAUAAACGAGUCCCUCAGGCCUUAUCCGGCCCGCGGCCCUUACUUUGGGGACCCCUACCUUUAGGUCUCCAACCACGGCCAGACAUCAUUUCAGGAGGAGGUGGGGAAGUAAAGCAGACUAGCAUAACAAAAGGAAUCAAUGAUUGCUUAAAACUGAGUCUCCUGUAAACACAAAUGCUUGUGAGGCUUCAGGCUUCAGGUCUUUCAACCUGAAAGACAGCAGGAUUAUUUGAAAUCAAGGCUCAGGAGGACUCUCCUGUGUGAGUGUCUGAGGGCCCUGCUCCUUCCUGCCACUCACCACCUGGCCCAGGGCGGGGCCUGACAGGCCUCACAGGGACAGUUGCUGUCGCUGUUGCUGUGGCCCAGGGGGAUCCGGAGGGGCGCAGAGUUCUUUUAAAAAUGUUUUAAAAUUUUCCUUUUCCUUUUUAUUUAAUUUUUUUUGUAUAUACGGGGAUGGGGGUGGGAUGGAUGUUUAGUUGGGAAUUUGUUUGAUUUUAAUGGAUUUGCAAUUUUUAUAGUUUUUUACUUGUAUUGUUUUUUGUUUUCUGGGUUUUUUUGUUUUUGUUUUGUUUUUAUUUUAUUUUAUUGUUUUAAGGUCUUAUUUGUUCUUAAGGGGAGGAGUCAGGGCUGCCGGGGAGUGGGUCCCAGCCAACAAAAUGGCUGGGGCAUGUUCCACAGAGGGGGAUGCGCUGGGACAACCGAUCUCAGUGAUCACGGGUAGGAGGAGGAGUUACGCUAAGACCAGACCAUGUCAUUACAGAGGAGGCAGGUUUAGUCGUUGUCUGAGGACUAUCCCUGCCUCCAGGUCUGGUCCUGACUGGACGGAUACUAGAAUCAGCAAGGGAUACCCACAUGACCUGAAGGUGCUGCUAUGCAAUGCCAGGUCAAUGAUUCAUAAGACCACUGCCAUCCAUGACUUGAUCAUGGAUGGAGGAUUUGACCUGGCAUGUGUAACAGAGACUUGGUUGGAUGAAGCAGAUGGGCCUGUUCUUGCCGCUGCUUGUCCACCAGGUUUCUCUUACGCACAGCAACCCAGGCCUUGUGGUCAGGGAGGGGGGGUUGCUGUGAUUUUUAGGAAGUCAUUAGUUUGCACCAGGCGUUCUAUUGGGAAGACCCAGUUCUCUGAGUGCAUGUUCUGGAAGUUGGGCAAUAGGGGCAGUACAGGAUUCCUUUUGGUGUACCGACCUCCCCGCUGCACCAAGGAUUCCCUGCCCGAGCUGCUUCAGGUCGUGGUGGAUGUUCUCCUGGAGACACCUAGUUUGGUUGUCCUAGGGGAUUUUAAUAUCCAUGCCGACACGACCUUACAAGUGGCUGCUCGGGACUUUGUGGAAAGCAUGGCCUCCAUGGGGCUGUCCCUGAAUAAGUUUGGCCCAACCCAUAGCCGCGGACAUGCCUUGGACCUGGUGUUUACCUCCAUGGAUGUUGGUGAUCUGACACUAAGUAAAAGCGAAACGAAAGAAGUGCCAUGGUCAGACCACUUCCUGGUGCAACUUGACUUCUCCGUGACCCUUCCCCUCUGCAGGGAGGUGGGACCGAUUCGGAUGGUCCGCCCCCGCCACUUCAUGGAUCCAAAUGGUUUCCAGAGAGUGGUAGGGGAUGCUUUAUCCCAUGUUGAUGGCCUUUCAGCUGAUUCCCUGGUGGCCCGCUGGAAUGUGGAGUUAACCAGGGCUAUUGACUGUUUGGCUCCAAAGCGCCCUCUCCGAUUGCAUGGAGCCCGGACAGCCCCGUGGUUUUCCAUGGAUCUGAGGCCAAUGAAACAAUCGUUGAGACGGCUAGAGCGCCGGUGGCGGAUGACCCAUUCUGAAGCUGACUGGACACAGGUUAGAGCUCAAUGUCGAGCCUACCAAGUGGCGGUAGCGACGGCGAAGAAGACUUUCUUCACCGCCUCUAUUGCAUCUGCAGAAAACAGCAGCAGGAGACUUUUUCAGGUGGUCCGCAAUUUAGCGGAACCACCUGCUACAUCGGGGCCCAGUACGGGCCACAUGAUCUCCUGCAAUGAUUUUGCAAAUAAAGUCGCUCAGAUUCGGGAAGAGGUAGACGCCACCGUGGGAGCAGGGCCGGGGCGGGAGAGUGCUAGAGUCCUGUCUAGUCAAAUUGUGUGGGAUCAAUUCCAAUCUGUUACCUCCGAGGAUGUGGACAGGCUGCUUGGACGAGUGAAACCAACCACCUGUCUCCUUGAUCCUUGCCCAUCCUGGCUUAUAAAAGCUAGCCGGGAAGGGCUGGGCGAUGGGCUUCGUGGGGUGGUGAAUGCUUCCCUCCGUGAGGGAGCCUUCCCAGACCCGCUGAAAGAGGCGGUUAUUAAACCGCUUCUUAAAAAACCAUCUUUAGACGCAGCCACGAUGGCCAACUAUCGCCCAGUCUCAAAUCUUCCAUUCUUGGGCAAGGUGAUUGAGCAAGUGGUUGCGGAACAACUCCAGGCACGCCUGGAAGAAGUGGACCAUUUGGAUCCCUUCCAGUCGGGAUUCAGGCCUCAUCUCGGGACUGAAACUGCCUUGGUCGCACUGUUUGAUGAUCUCCGGCGGGCUAGGGACAAAGGUGAGAGCUGUUUCCUAGUUCUGCUGGAUCUCUCAGCAGCGUUUGAUACCAUCGACCAUAACAUCCUUCUGGACCAUCUUGAGGGGCUGGGAGCUGGGGGCACUGUCAUACAGCGGUUCCGCUCCUUCCUCCUGGGCCGUGUUCAGAAAGUGGGGGGGGGAUGAGUGUUCAGACCCCUGGGUUCUCACUUGUGGGGUGCCUCAGGGUACUGUCCUCUCCCCCAUGCUUUUCAACAUCUACAUGCAGCCGCUGGGAGAGAUCAUCAGGGGGUUUGGGCUGGGUGUUCAUCAGUAUGCGGAUGAUACCCAGCUCUACCUCUCUUUCAAAUCAGAACCAGUGAAGGCGGUGAUGGUACUGUGUGAGUGUCUGGAGGCGGUUGGAGGAUGGAUGGCGGCAAACAGAUUGAGAUUGAAUCCUGACAAGACAGAAGUACUGUUUCUGGGGGACAGGAGGCGGGCAGGUGUGGAGGAUUCCCUGGUCCUGAAUGGGGUAACUGUGCCCCUGAAGGACCAGGUGCGCAGCCUGGGAGUCAUUUUGGACUCACAGCUGUCCAUGGAGGCACAGGUUAAAUCCGUGUCCAGGGCAGCUGUGUACCAGCUCCAUCUGGUACACAGGCUGAGACCCUAUCUGCCUUCGGACUGCCUCGCCAGAGUGGUGCAUGCUCUGGUUAUCUCCCGCUUGGACUACUGCAAUGCGCUCUACGUGGGGCUACCUUUGAAGGUGACUCAGAAACUACAACUAAUCCAGAAUGCAGCAGCCAGACUGGUGACUGGGAGCGGCCGCCGAGACCAUAUAACACCGGUCUUGAAAGACCUACAUUGGCUCCCAGUACGUUUCCGAGCACAAUUCAAAGUGUUGGUGCUGACCUUUAAAGCCCUAAACAGCCUCGGUCCAGUAUACCUGAAGGAGCGUCUCCAUCCCCAUCAUUCUACCCGGACACUGAGGUCCAGCACCGAGGGCCUUCUGGUGGUUCCCUCACUGCGAGAAGCCAAGUUACAGGGAACCAGGCAGAGGGCCUUCUCGGUAGUGGCGCCCUCCCUGUGGAACACCCUCCCACCAGAUGUCAAAGAGAACAACAACUACCAGACUUUUAGAAGACAUCUGAAGGCAGCCCUGUUUAGGGAAGCUUUUAAUGUUUGAUGUAUCACAGUAUUUUAAUAUUCUUUUGGAAGCCGCCCAGAGUGGCUGGGGAAACCCAGCCAGAUGGGCAGGGUAUAAAUAAUAAAUUAUUAUUAUUAUUAUGACACCAGAAACUUACUUCUAUUUUAAAAAAAUUGCAUUUAAGCACUUUUAACUCCCACCCACCCUUUGAGAAACCCUUUGCAGAAUCCUAGGUCUAAUUCCAUCUCUCCCACCCCCAGUUUAACUGUAUCUCAUAUCCAGACAGAGGGACAAACUUGCCCUCAGCAGGAAGUUGCAAAGACAUAUGUGAAUUUGGCUUGAGAUUCACAAACCAGGGCCUGUUUGUUUUAAAAAGAUCAUUGAUCUCUCUUGUCCCAAGUGGCCAUAAUUGGGCAGUAGAUUCCAGAAAGCUGAGAGGGAUGAAUGGCCUCAGAGUUGUCACUUCUGUACACAUAAAGAUAAAUGCAAGGUUUUCCAUCUGGCCUUGUGCUUGGUCUGGCAAUUUGUCAUCCAGCAUCAGCAGCCACUGGGAUAUCUCACGCAUUUGGUGACACCCCCAAAUCAUCUCCAUUCCACUUUUCUUCAACUUAUACCCUUCAAUAGCUGUGGUGUAGAAUUUUAAAGAAGGAACUUUGUUUCAUACCUGGCAAAAUUCUGCUAAACUUAGCAAGCAAAUAGCGUAGAUUAAAGGACUAUGACAAUUUUAUCUGUAAAAUACAUCUAUAAAGAACACACCCAUUAUAUUUGAUUAUUUGAUAAAGUAUUAGAGCAGGAUUGAUGUAAUAUUCUUAUUGUCAGUGUUGGCUGCCAAGGGGUUUUUGUUGUGUUGUUAUUCGUUUUUGCUCCUUUUUGUUACAAUUUCAAAUCUUAAAAAUUGUUGUUUUUAAGUAUUGAAGCAGGAAAUCUGGUAUUGGAGCCAAACAGAGGUCUGCUCUGUUAGCAGGUACUAUUUUGGAGUGCAAAAUAUUGAUACCAUUAACAUGCAACGGAUUUUCCUCCUUGCAAUUCGGCUAGCAAAUGAACACCAAGCAUUGACUUGCAUGGGAAGGUACAUCUGCACAUCGUAACCCCACAGGUUGACAUUUCAGCUCAUCUAGGGUCUUAAACCAUGGGCGAGGAACCUGAGGACCUCCAGAUAUUGUGGGACUCCAACUUCCAUCAGCUCCAGCCAGCAUGGUCAAUGGCCAAGAAUUAUGGGAGGGUCACAGGUUCCUCACCCUUGUCUUAAACAGACCACUUGCACUGUCUGCCAAGUCAUAAAAACUUAAGAAGAGCCCAGCUGUAUGAGACCAAAGGACUGUGUAAGCCAAGUUCCCACAGUGGCCAACCAGAUACAUAUUAGAAACCCAAAGCCAGAUAUGAGCACAGUAGCUGUUUCCCACUGGUAUUCAGAGGCAGAUCGCCUCUAAUCCUUGAGACAAGAUACAACCAUUGUGACCAUUGGCAGCCUUAUUUCCAUGACUCAUCAAGUAUAUAUUCUGUCCUCUUAUUUACACAGGCAACAGUAUUCCAGGACUUCAUGGCAUCAACAGCUGAGCCAUUGGAGGUCAUGCAUCUGCUCAAUCUGCAACACAAUAUAUAUGCCGUUAAUUUGCCAACAGUGCCUGCAAAGGACUAACAAGGCAAGAAUAAAUGGAUGUUCAAAUGUGGCUGAAUGAAGUCACUUCUCUUCAACAUAGAAACUUCAAAGCGAGAGUUCAAGCUGAAAUUGAGGAACUAGAAUUUAUCAGUAAGCUUGACAGUAUUUGUUUAGGACUCAGGCUCUUCUACUACAGGUGUUAAAUUAGCAGGACACAGUUAGAAAUACAGUGUUAUCACCAAAUGCUCCUGUUAUGGAUUGUAGCUGUGCUUAUCUUGUAUACAUUUGAGCUUUCCAUG